rnacentral:rRNA from 1 species
AUUGAACGCUGGCGGCAGGCCUAACACAUGCAAGUCGAGCGGAUGAAGGGAGCUUGCUCCUGGAUUCAGCGGCUGACGGGUGAGUAAUGCCUAGGAAUCUGCCUGGUAGUGGUGGAUAACGUCCGGAAACGGGCGCUAUUACCGCAUACGUCCUGAGGGAGAAAGUGGGGGAUCUUCGGACCUCACGCUAUCAGAUGAGCCUGGGUCGGAUUAGCUAGUUGGUGGGGUAAAGGCCGACCAAGGCGACGAUCCGUAACUGGUCUGAGAGGAUGAUCAGUCACACUGGAAAUGAGACACGGGCCAGACUCCUAAGGGAGGCAGCAGUGGGGAAUAUUGGACAAUGGGCGAAAGCCUGAUCCAGCCAUGACGCGUGUGUGAAGAAGGUCUUCGGAUUGUAAAGCACUUUAAGUUGGGAGGAAGGGCAGUAAGUUAAUACCUUGCUGUUUUGACGUUACCAACAGAAUAAGCACCGGCUAACUUCGUG